AAAAGAAACGGAUUUCGGAAAUUCAAAAAUCAAAUUUCCGCGCCGCCCGUCAUGCGGAACCGAGUGGAAAAAGAUAGAGAUUUGUCAAAGUUGGUGAAAGAAAAAAGACAAAAAAAACACGGACACAUGGGAAAAUCUAUCAAAA
ensembl:ncRNA F08G5.11 ncRNA